AUUGAACGCUGGCGGCAUGCCUUACACAUGCAAGUCGAACGGUAACAGGUCUUCGGAUGCUGACGAGUGGCGAACGGGUGAGUAAUACAUCGGAACGUGCCCGAGAGUGGGGGAUAACGAGGCGAAGCUUUGCUAAUACCGCAUACGAUCUCAGGAUGAAAGCAGGGGACCGCAAGGCCUUGCGCUCACGGAGCGGCCGAUGGCAGAUUAGGUAGUUGGUGGGAUAAAAGCUUACCAAGCCGACGAUCUGUAGCUGGUCUGAGAGGACGACCAGCCACACUGGGACUGAGACACGGCCCAGAAUCCUACGGGAGGCAGCAGUGGGGAAUUUUGGAAAAUGGGCGCAAGCCUGAUCCAGCCAUGCCGCGUGCAGGAUGAAGGCCUUCGGGUUGUAAACUGCUUUUGUACGGAACGAAAAGACUCUGGUUAAUACCUGGGGUCCAUGACGGUACCGUAAGAAUAAGCACCGGCUAACUACGUGCCAGCCGCCGCGGUAAGAC
rnacentral:rRNA from 1 species